ACAGGUAGAACCGUGAAUACCGGAUAUUGGAUGUUUCAUGGCUUUGAUGUGAUUAUUGGCUGAUGUUUUAAUAGGCUGUACAUUUGGAAACUCCAGAUUCCCAUUCCCAGAUCGUGUGUGUGCGUGUGCGUGUGCGUGUGCGUGUGUAUGUGUGUGUGUGUGUGUGUGUGUGUGUGUUUAGAGGAGGAUGUCAUACAUGUGAAAUAAAUGAGUGGACAUGACACAUGCAUGUAAUGCACAUGCCAUCAAAAUAAGCAUGACUAUUCAGAAGAUGCGUUUUAUUUGUGAUUUGUGUACUGUCAUUACAAGCAACAAGAAAUAGACAUAGAUUAAUACCUCGAAGUUCUGACAAUACUGUGGCGAACUUUUGAAUAACAGCGCCAUCUGCUGUACAAACAUGGCAAUGUAUUUUGAAUUGAACUGAAGGUCAAAUAGAUGGAUUGUGGAUGAUGUCUUACAUAAUAUGUCUUUCAACAUGAACAAUUGUUCAUUCAUUAACUCAGUUCACAAGAAUACUUUUUUAUUAUAUUUGUAUUUCAUCAACACCAAGUAUUCAAUUAAUAUCUUAACAUUUAACAUCUUAACAGUGAAAACAUUGUGUAGAGGGCAAAGAUGGGGGUAAUGGGGAUGCAGCUCUUAACUUAUUGGUCAUCAGUGAGUUCAUUUCAACACAGAUUUGCGUAGUUAUGUUCGGUUCCAGGGUUUUCACUUGCUAACGAUUUCCUCAUCAACGUCUUCGGUGCGAGAUACCACCUUACCAUCCACAAUCUCCUCGAUCACCAUCUUGACUCUUUUGGUCACGA